GACGAACGCUGGCGGCGUGCCUAACACAUGCAAGUGGAGCGACGAACCAGGCUUCGGCCUGGGGCAAAGCCGCGAACGGGUGAGUAACACGUGGGUAACCUGCCCUGAUGAUUGGGACAACCCGAGGAAACUCGGGCUAAUACCAAAUGUGCCCUUCGGCCACAAGGCCGCUGGGGAAAGGAAGCUUCGGCCUCCGCAUCUGGAUGGGCCCGCGGCCCAUUAGCUUGUUGGUGAGGUAACGGCUCACCAAGGCGACGAUGGGUAGCUGGUCUGAGAGGACGGAUCAGCCACACUGGGACGUGAGACACGGCCCACGACUCCUACGGGAGGCAGCAGUGGGGAAGUCUUGCGCAAUGCGCGAAAGCGUGACGCAGCAACGCCGCGU
rnacentral:rRNA from 1 species